rnacentral:lncRNA from 10 species
AGGCCCUACCAAGGGCCACCAUGGGGGUAACUGAAGGAGUGACUUUUUCACCUCCAAGCAGCCAACUCCUUCCUUCCUGCAGGAAAGUGGGAGGGUGAAGCUGUAUAUGUGACCCAGUGACCCUCCAGAUCCACAGUGGGAGCAGGCAGUGAGGAGGUGGUGGCCAGGUAUGGCCUCCAGCUGAUUCCUCCUUUGUGGCCUCCUUCCGCCAACAGCACUAUUUCUGGAAGCAUCCAUGCAGGCAGAGCGGAUGGGUCUUCUACCCUUUGUCGCGUGUGGAAUUGGGACGCAGGCCCAGCACCUCAUACCAGGGCCCGCUUGGGGCCCUGUCUCCAUACAUGUGACCCAGGCCUGGGUAGCCGCAGGGCCAAAACUGAUCAGAGUCCCAGAGAGUCUCAGUCAGGGAGAAGCCAGGAGGGACCUUAUGGGCCAGUUGGGUUCUUUCAUACAGAAAGAAACUGAGGCUUUGAUUUCUCCUGUAAAUAUUUACUGCCUGCUGCCUUUGUACGGAGGAGGGCCUGGGCCAGGCCAACAUGGGCCCAGCCUCCACAGACCGGGGAGAAGGUGUUUCUGACACAGCAAGCAGUCUGCUCAGAAGCCCAGAGACCAGUCCCCACACCCUCUGGGCAACCUGGAGUGUGGCUGGGAGGCCCCUGGUGGCCUUACCUCUGAGGUACCCUGUGAGCCAGUGGAGGGCUGAAGCAGGUUCAGAAAACCUCCUACCGCUGUGUGAGGGUGCCCAAGUCCCUGAGAGGAGCCUUCAGAUAGGCAGUGGGCAUGUGCCAGGCUGUGCCUGAGGUGGCUGGCUCACAGAGCUUCCAGUGGGACGGAGGGAAGUGGGGCCCAGGGCUCGCCAGUGGGGGCAGGUGGUGAGACCCUCACUUGUUCACCAUGACAGCUGUGGCCCUACACACUCUCCUCUGCCAUUAGUCUCGUGAAACACCGCAGGCUAGUUAGGAAGCCGGCUCAGGAAGCUGGCUUGACCAGGGUUCUUGCUGCUGUGUCAUUCUGGAAGGUUCAGUGCUGCUAGGACAGGCAGUUUAAGCAGAUAAUCUGGACUAAGUUUAAAACCAUCUCGACACCGCAGACAUCCCUGCCAUGGACUUGUUUGGCUCUUCAGGGUACGCUGGCUUCAGUCAGCUAAUGCCAGGUGCCUGUGAACUCGGCCAGCUUUCCUUGUCCACUCAUUUUUCCUGAGAAGAGUCAGCUUUUUCCUUCCUCUCCCAUGAGCUGAGCCCCUCCUUCCAGCCCUUUUCCUGAAGAAGACCCCCACCUACCUCUGUUGGAAGCCCCCUGCCCCCACAGUUGACAGGUUCCUGGAGUCACCUCCAUUCCUGCCCUUGAAGCGUGAGCGGCUGUCCCGGUCCAGUUCCUUCUGCUUCUCCUGGGCCCCCCAGUAGCAUAGUAAUUGGUUUCUCAGAUCUUCAGCUGCGUGCCCCGUCUGUGAAUAUUUCCCAGUCCCUGACCCUCGCGGGAAGACCCAUCUAUGAUCUUACCCCUGUGGGGAUCCUCAGGGGAGAGAGAUGAUGGAGAGAUGACUGAUCCUUCCAGUCUCUUCUCUCAUUCCUGCCAGUGAUGCCUAAAAUAGAGAGCAAAAUUGCCACCUCUCUGCCCCAGCCCCCUCCCCGACCCCCGCAGCCCAAGGUCGCAGGCCCCCAGGAUGGGCCCUGGGCCUGGUAAGCAAGCAGGCCACAGGAGAGGGGCGCUGGAGCAGCUGCCGAGUGCCCUGUUUCCAGCAGCUGCAGAGAUUUGUAUCUGCAGUUACCGCUCCUGGAGGGUCACAGCCUCCGUUUCAUUUUUGUGGUGUUUGAAGAAGAGUUCAAGCCUUUCUCCACGUAUACACAGGCCCACAGGCCCAGGUUCGGGCUUCCCACAGCCAGCUAAUGGGUUUCUAGGAGAGAAAAGAUAGCAAUCAAAUAUAUGCCCACAGGCUGGGCGUAGUGGCUCACGCCAGAAUCCCAGCACUUUAGUAGGCAGAGGUGGGUGGAUCACUUGAGCCCAGGAGUUCAAGACCAACCUGGGCAACAUGGCAAGACCCCA